rnacentral:rRNA from 1 species
GACGAACGCUGGCGGCGUGCUUAACACAUGCAAGUCGAACGGUGAAGCGCCUUCCUUUUUGGUGGGUGUGGAUGAGUGGCGAACGGGUGAGUAACACGUGAGUAACCUGCCCCCUUCUUCUGGAUAACCGCAUGAAAGUGUGGCUAAUACGGGAUAUUCUGGGUCUGUCGCAUGAUGGGUCUGGGAAAGAUAUUGUUUCGGUGGGGGAUGGGCUGGCGGCCUAUCAGCUUGUUGGGGGGGUGAUGGCCUACCAAGGCGGUGACGGGUAGCCGGCCUGAGGGGGUGGACGGUCACACUGGGACUGAGACACGGCCCAGACUCCUACGGGAGGCAGCAGUGGGGAAUAUUGCACAAUGGGCGCAAGCCUGAUGCAGCGACGCCGCGUGAGGGAUGGAGGCCUUCGGGUUGUGAACCUCUUUCGCCAGUGAAGCAGGCCUGCCUCGUUUGUGGGUGGGUUGACGGUAGCUGGAUAAGAAGCGCCGGCUAACUACGUG